UGGGUUGGGCUUGCAUGGGACAUAUGAUGGGGAGCAUGACCUAAGGCUGAGGAGACAAACGUGUAAUGUACCACAGUAUAUAACUAGCCUUGGGUAGCUUCAGCAGGGGCCCGCUGCUUCCACUUCCCAAAGACACAGCUGCUAUGAAGACCGUUUACUGUACCUACUGCUAAUGAACAUAUAUGGAGAAGAGAUCUUUGCCAAAGAGGAGUUACUUGGAUAUAGCAUGUGUGAAGCAGACAUGUAGGAAAAGACAAGGGUCCUUAGAGUACUUUGAAAAGGAGCAAUAUGCCAUUUUGUUAAAUCAUCAUGCUCUUCAUCGGCUGCCUUAUCCCCACUCAAGCACAUAAUUGGCAUAGGAAGAAUACUUUUCCAACAAGAACAAAGUCAAUUAUGAACAAUUCAGCAUCUGUAUAGCAGGACACCAGAAAGCAUCCUGGUUUAUAUGAUGUUACAAAUCCCGAAAUUAUGCAUGAGGAAGGGCUGAGCUAGGCCCGAAACGUUGCAGAUAUUUGUUGACCCAUGUUGUAAUAUUAAUAAAGGUCUUUUAUUAUUGCAA